rnacentral:rRNA from 1 species
AAGCUCGUAGUUGAAUUUCGGGAUUAGUACGUCGGUCGUGCCUUAGGUACGUACUGGUGUUACUGGUUCCUACCUUCUGACGAACCAUCAUGUCAUUAAUUUGGUGUGGUGGGGAAUCAGGACUGUUACUUUGAAAAAAUUAGAGUGUUUAAAGCAGGCUCGCGCUUGAAUACAUUAGCAUGGAAUAAUGAAAUAGGACGUUGAUCCUACUUUGUUGGUUUCUAGGAUUGACGUAAUGAUUAAUAGGGAUAGUUGGG